GUCUCCUCCUAUAUCAAAGUGACACACACAAUUAUUCUUUGAAAAUGAUCGAACUUUGCACUGAAUAGUACAGUGCACUGGUCUGUACUUCUUGGUACUAAAUGCUACUGGACAGGGACUAUGCUACUUAGGUAAACUACUUCUGUUCUGAGAUUUAUCUCUUAACAGGCUGAGCUGAGGGCUGAAUGGAAAACUGUGAAAACUCUCUUUUAACAAGUUAUGAAAGUUUUCCAUUAAGCCCUUGAUGAGGGCAACCUUUUUUUACAACAUCUACCAACUGCACCAUACUGCUGGUAGUUUUACGGAGGUAAGAGGGCUGUUUAAAAAGUACCCCGACUACUUCCAUAAUUUUAAAACUAAUGCAUGAAGAAAUAUUUAAUUCAUAUUAUUUUUAAAAAAAAGACAAAAAAAAAAACAAGAUUUCUGCUACAAAGGUUCCAAAUUUGAAACAGUAUUAUAUAGUUUUUUUAAUAUCUAGGGCAUGACAACCUUGGGGUCAGCAAUUUAAUAUCUUCAAAAUAUCAAGUUUGUUCAAAACAUUUUCAUGCUCAAUUUUUUUUUCAGGCAACUUUUAGUAUAAAAAAACAUUAACUUGUGAAGAAGUAGUAUAAUUAUGAUGUUUUAUUAAAAUAUAAAACUAUCUUUCACUUAAUGUAAAAAAUAAACUGAACUCUAUCAUUAAAAAUCAAGACUUUCUUGGCAGUUGCUUCCCUUGAAAAGAUAUUCUUCAUUGUAUUAUGCUUUACCAAGUUGUCAAAAAGUAUGGCCAACAGUUUCGAACUGAUUUUAUCAUGAUCAUUCUACAGUAACUAUUGUCUAUUUCAAUAAUUCAUAACUUUUUUAAAGUGUUCUCCCGAGGUUUUUUGCAUUAUUUAGACAGAUUAGCUUGGAUUUCUUCAUUCAGUUUGGGUUUAAUGCCAGUUUUCAACAGUAUUUCAGUUAAGUAAUGGUGGUAAGUUAACCUAACCAAUGUUCCUGGAUUUUGUACUUGGUCAAGUACAAACCUGUUCCCUGCAAGUAACUGGCAACUUCCUCACUUGGAAAAUGAUCUGAGCCGCACCAUGAUAAAACCAACAUAGUACAUUUGCGACCAGCAUGGAUCCAGACCAGCCUGCGCAUCCUGGUCAGGAUCCAUGCAGUUCGCUAACAAUUUCUCUAAUUGCUAUAGGCUUUGAAAGCGAACAGCAUGGAUCCUGACCAGACUGCGCAGAUGCUGUGAUCCGGCCCUGUGAUCCGUAGAUCUGUGCUUUCCAUAUUGAGCUAAGCAGACGGGCACCUUGGAUUUGUAGACAUUUCUGUGAAUAUAUUUUAACAUGGGUGACUGCCAUAAAAGAAUCAUUCGUUAUUUCAGACUGUUGCUGAUGUAAAAUUUUCUGAAGUCUCUCGAGUGUUAUGAAAGAGAUUAUUGGAGUUAUGGUGAUUUUCUACAACAAAUAUUGAUGUUAUAACAUUUGCAGAUAUUGAUGCUAUGGUAUUUAAAACCUCUAAAUGUCACCUGGGCAGACAGCUGGUUACAACACGGUUACAAAAUACCUUCUCUAUUUUACUGGUACAGCUUAAGUAGAAGGGAUUACUGACUGGAAUGACUUGAAUACAGCUGUAGAGACAGUUUAAGAUUUUUUUAAGACCCUCAUAGUGAUUUGAAUUAAAAGGACAUGUGCACAAAGUGGUUAAAAGCUUGAGAUUGAAACAAAAAAGUGGUUCUUGUGGGAGGUGAUUGUGAUAGGGGUUGUACUUGGCAUGAAUUAAAGCAUAAAUGUCUUUUAUUCAAUCUGACAUCCAUUCAAUAUUUUACUCUAUAAAAGCCUUGAGCAAUUUACUGAUCUGUCAUAGUUCAGUCCUGAAUUUUGAAGAAUACAAAAAGCAGAAACCAAAUUUAGUUGAUCUGAUCCAUGAUUUUGGAAAUUGGUUAAUGUAUACUAAAAUGUUCAGUAAUUUGGAACUUGAUUGUUUGUUUGAAACGCUUUUCACCUCAAGAUAUGAAAAUUCAUGGAAUACAAACUUGAAAGUAUCACAGGUCUUUGACCUCUGUAUUUAACAUAAAUAUCCUCAAAUCCAAAGAAAAUAAACUUAAUACAAAAGAAAUAUCCUCAAACCCAAAGGGAAUUCAUUUGAAACAAACAAAGUCAUUAACAGUCAGUUCAGUUUGAUGAUUCCUGUCUGGAUUUCCCAGGUGUGCACAGAUAUAUCUAGUAGUAGCGGAUGUUUCUAUUGCAGUUAUUCUAUCAGCGUGAUCUAAAUUUGAAGAUGAAGGCAAUGAGACUGAUCAAGACAGACAAGGGAUCCCUGAAACAAUACCAGGGAAGUAUGACAGAUCCAUCUGUAACCAUUCUGGAGCUAUUUUACAGCAAUCCCUAAAGUAUGUUAUGAGGCAGAAGAAGUAAUGUACGAUCCCGGUAAAUGAUACCCUUGGAAUGGAGGUACUGGAAUGCUUCUAGAACACACGCCACCACGAAUCGCGAUGUUGUCUCGUCAAAACUACCGUGAUCACGUAAUAUAGUCCAAACUUCACCACCUAAACACACCUCC